GAGAUUGGGGCCUCGGGUAUGAAAUGGACCCAGCUCAGGUCCAGGACCUCGAAGUCUCCUCCAGGUAAAUGGCCUGCAUUCUCCAGGCGUCCGCAUUCUCCACCUGCGCCCCCGGGGCUUGCACUCUGAGCUGCUGUCCUGUGUUGGAAAAGAGAGAGCUGGACAUGGAAGGCAUUCUCAGAGUGCUUGGAUCCCAGGCCAGGGUCGAGGGGAUGAAACAAGAGCCGGAGAGAGAUUUCUCCACUGGCCUUUCUGGCUGGGACAAGGUUCACCACAGUGACACGUCCCAUUUGCUCA